UCUCUUGUCCUUUACAGGUAGAAGGCCAAGGCUCUGCAGACUCCGAGAGGGAGUGAAGGUGCUACUCCUCUGUUGACACAUGAGGCUUUGGAAAGAAAGCAGGUGCAUCAGAGAGAGACAAGAGGACAGUAGCAGCUCCAACUUGGACCAUGCGGUGGUGAGAAGGAACUGAGGGCGCAGUUGGUCUGCCCUGCCCUUUAUCGUCUCCAACAAAACCAUGAGGUGGAGCAAGGGCACGUUCCUGCAGUGGAAUACAGUAGGGACCAUCACUUGCAGAACCACCAAGAAACAUACAAAUCCCCUGUGAUCACAACGUCACUCUGGGGUCCCUGAAAGUAUGGAGAGAGGAGUCUGUAUACUGACCAAAGAGCCCUUAAAACGGAAGGUCUUCCAUUGUG